rnacentral:rRNA from 1 species
UGCGGCCUAUCAGGUAGUAGUGGGUGUAAUGUACCUACUAGCCAACAACGGGUACGGGUUGUGAGAGCAAGAGCCCGGAGAUGGAUUCUGAGACAUGAAUCCAGGCCCUACGGGGCGCAGCAGGCGCGAAAACUUUACAAUGCGGGAAACCGUGAUAAGGGGACACCGAGUGCCAGCGUCAUACGCUGGCUGUCCAGGUGUGUAAAAUACACCUGUUAGCAAGGGCCGGGCAAGACCGGUGCCAGCCGCCGCGGUAACACCGGCGGCCCGAGUGGUGAUCGUGAUUAUUGGGUCUAAAGGGUCCGUAGCCGGUUUGGUCAGUCCUCCGGGAAAUCUGAUAGCUCAACUAUUAGGCUUUCGGGGGAUACUGCCAGGCUUGGAACCGGGAGAGGUAAGAGGUACUACAGGGGUAGGAGUGAAAUCUUGUAAUCCCUGUGGGACCACCUGUGGCGAAGGCGUCUUACCAGAACGGGUUCGACGGUGAGGGACGAAAGCUGGGGGCACGAACCGGAUUAGAUACCCGGGUAGUCCCAGCCGUAAACGAUGCUCGCUAGGUGUCAGGCAUGGCGCGACCGUGUCUGGUGC